AAUAUUAACGGUUUAGGUGUGUUUUUCUGCUUAGAGAUUGAGGUACUGAUUCCUAUGUCUGCUGUGCUUACUCUAUUUUA